rnacentral:misc_RNA from 1 species
CACAUUUCUUCCAUAAUGAUCUCCUUCCCCUGACAUAUUCCACCUCUGACCCUUGAUCUGACUGAAGUCAUCCAUAUGAGCAUCAGGAAUACCACCUUUAUGAUAAGUCCUAGAUGGGAUGAAUCCAGGUCCCCCAUAAAAUUCUUUUCUAGUAAAUGUUCUUCCACCAAUAGAUGUAUCCCGCCCAGGACUGCGAUGACCAUUCUCCUGAUCUUGUGAAAGAAAAGUUGAGCUGUUCCCAUUUUCAAAUGAAUCCCUCUUCCAUGAAUUCACAGCUUUACCUCUGUCCAAAAAGAUAGCAGCGCCAUCUCUAGGAAAGUGAGGCCUAGAAACCACCUCAGAUGGUCUAUUCAUUCCUGAGGAAUCAGAAGAUGCUGAAGUUGUGAUCCUUUCUAACAUCCUUUCACUAUCUUCCCAAUCACCCACAU